UAAUGCAGUCGACGAACUCUGGUAUUGAUUGGUGCUUGCAUCAUGAUUUACAUUUGAGUGAGUGGCGAACUGGUGAGUAACACGUGGGAAACCUGCCCAGAAGCGGGGGAUAACACCUGGAAACAGAUGCUAAUACCGCAUAACAACUUGGACCGCAUGGUCCGAGUUUGAAAGAUGGCUUCGGCUAUCACUUUUGGAUGGUCCCGCGGCGUAUUAGCUAGAUGGUGGGGUAACGGCUCACCAUGGCAAUGAUACGUAGCCGACCUGAGAGGGUAAUCGGCCACAUUGGGACUGAGACACGGCCCAAACUCCUACGGGAGGCAGCAGUAGGGAAUCUUCCACAAUGGACGAAAGUCUGAUGGAGCAACGCCGCGUGAGUGAAGAAGGGUUUCGGCUCGUAAAACUCUGUUGUUAAAGAAGAACAUAUCUGAGAGUAACUGUUCAGGUAUUGACGGUAUUUAACCAGAAAGCCACGGCUAACUACGUGCCAGCAGCCGCGGUAAUACGUAGGUGGCAAGCGUUGUCCGGAUUUAUUGGGCGUAAAGCGAGCGCAGGCGGUUUUUUAAGUCUGAUGUGAAAGCCUUCGGCUCAACCGAAGAAGUGCAUCGGAAACUGGGAAACUUGAGUGCAGAAGAGGACAGUGGAACUCCAUGUGUAGCGGUGAAAUGCGUAGAUAUAUGGAAGAACACCAGUGGCGAAGGCGGCUGUCUGGUCUGUAACUGACGCUGAGGCUCGAAAGUAUGGGUAGCAAACAGGAUUAGAUACCCUGGUAGUCCAUACCGUAAACGAUGAAUGCUAAGUGUUGGAGGGUUUCCGCCCUUCAGUGCUGCAGCU
rnacentral:rRNA from 1 species